GAGAACCCUGCCCGAGCCUGGGCAUCCCUGAUUCCGGGCGCUGGUAGGUUCAUUCCCGAGACUUCGGAAAACGGGAAUAGACAAAUAGCUAGGGUGGUCAUCAUCUUGGUUAGCGUGACGCCACAGAGCCACAGAUUCAAUUAGGCUGGAAAAAACCUCUGUGAUCGUCAGCUAUGAGCAGCCUUGCCGAGUAGAGCACGGCCCUGACACCACAUCCAGUCCUCUGUCAAACACCUCCGGGGACGUGGCUGCACCUCCUCCCUGCGCAGCCCGUUGCCACGGCUAAUUUUUCACGUCUCUGUGAAAAAUCUCAUCCUGACAUCCUGCCGGAGCCUCCCCUGGUGCAGCUUCAGACUGACAGACUAACAGACUGACAGACCCUUGUCCUGUCGCUGUGCCCGGAGAAGAGGCCGACCCGCACCUGGCUGCGCCUCCUUUCAGGUGGCUGUGGACAGCGACGAGGUCACCCCUGAGCUCCUGUUCUCCAGGCUGGAAAUAAAGACAUACAUUUUUUCCCCCCACCAAUUUCCUCAGCAGAGCUCAGCAGGAUGGGGUUUUUUUACCUUUCCAGGCCUCUUCUGUCACCUAGAGGAAGGUAACAGAGCUGCUGGCUGCAUCACAACCAGCUGAUGGAUGCUGUGGUAUUAUGGUCUCCUGAUUAAGGAUCUGCCACAGUCUCCUUGGCUCCUGCUGAAGCAGCAUAUGGACACAAACUUGGGCUUCAUAUCAACAGAAAGACAAGCCAUUCAGCUGGGACCUGAGAGCUCAAAAGUGUUUCAGCUCUCCAGUCAAAGAGUGGCUGAAAUCUGAAUUUAAAUCUGCAGCUCCAAAUGUGCCAGGGAGCAAGCUGUCAGCUGCUCUGGAUGUGUAAUGCUUCCAGGUCCUUCUUGUUUACAGAGUUUGUACUUUGGGUAAGCUUAUAUCUCUUCUGCCAGCUACAUCAAAAGAAAAACUCCAUUGUACUUCUGCUUUUGCCUUGUAAUAGAUUUAUAGUGUUAGUUGAAGAGAAAAGAACUGUUUAGAUUAAAUUUACAGUGCUGCUGAAAAUCAGGAAUGUCUAUUUAAUUAAAAUAUAUAUCUAUUCAAUAAAAUAUGAGUAAAUGUGUUAUAAUGUGUAGCU
rnacentral:lncRNA from 1 species